rnacentral:rRNA from 11 species
UUAAGUUAGAAAGGGCGCACGGUGGAUGCCUUGACACUAGGAGUCGAUGAAGGACGGGACUAACGCCGAUAUGCUUCGGGGAGCUGUAAGUAAGCUUUGAUCCGAAGAUUUCCGAAUGGGGAAACCCACCAUACGUAAUGGUAUGGUAUCCUUAUCUGAAUACAUAGGGUAAGGAAGACAGACCCAGGGAACUGAAACAUCUAAGUACCUGGAGGAAGAGAAAGCAAAUGCGAUUUCCUGAGUAGCGGCGAGCGAAACGGAACAUAGCCCAAACCAAGAGGCUUGCCUCUUGGGGUUGUAGGACAUUCUAUACGGAGUUACAAAGGAACGAGGUAGACGAAGCGACCUGGAAAGGUCCGUCGUAGAGGGUAACAACCCCGUAGUCGAAACUUCGUUCUCUCUUGAAUGUAUCCUGAGUACGGCGGAACACGUGAAAUUCCGUCGGAAUCUGGGAGGACCAUCUCCCAAGGCUAAAUACUCCCUAGUGAUCGAUAGUGAACCAGUACCGUGAGGGAAAGGUGAAAAGCACCCCGGAAGGGGAGUGAAAGAGAUCCUGAAACCGUGUGCCUACAAAUAGUCAGAGCCCGUUAACGGGUGAUGGCGUGCCUUUUGUAGAAUGAACCGGCGAGUUACGAUCCCGUGCGAGGUUAAGCUGAAGAGGCGGAGCCGCAGCGAAAGCGAGUCUGAAUAGGGCGUUUAGUACGUGGUCGUAGACCCGAAACCAGGUGAUCUACCCAUGUCCAGGGUGAAGUUCAGGUAACACUGAAUGGAGGCCCGAACCCACGCACGUUGAAAAGUGCGGGGAUGAGGUGUGGGUAGCGGAGAAAUUCCAAUCGAACCUGGAGAUAGCUGGUUCUCCCCGAAAUAGCUUUAGGGCUAGCCUUAAGUGUAAGAGUCUUGGAGGUAGAGCACUGAUUGGACUAGGGGUCCUCAUCGGAUUACCGAAUUCAGUCAAACUCCGAAUGCCAAUGACUUAUCCUUAGGAGUCAGACUGCGAGUGAUAAGAUCCGUAGUCAAAAGGGAAACAGCCCAGACCGCCAGCUAAGGUCCCAAAGUGUGUAUUAAGUGGAAAAGGAUGUGGAGUUGCUUAGACAACUAGGAUGUUGGCUUAGAAGCAGCCACCAUUUAAAGAGUGCGUAAUAGCUCACUAGUCGAGUGACUCUGCGCCGAAAAUGUACCGGGGCUAAAUACACCACCGAAGCUGCGGAUUGAUACCGAAUGGUAUCAGUGGUAGGGGAGCGUUCUAAGGACAGUGAAGUCAGACCGGAAGGACUGGUGGAGUGCUUAGAAGUGAGAAUGCCGGUAUGAGUAGCGAAAGACGGGUGAGAAUCCCGUCCACCGAAUGCCUAAGGUUUCCUGAGGAAGGCUCGUCCGCUCAGGGUUAGUCAGGACCUAAGCCGAGGCCGACAGGCGUAGGCGAUGGACAACAGGUUGAUAUUCCUGUACCACCUCUUUAUCGUUUGAGCAAUGGAGGGACGCAGAAGGAUAGAAGAAGCGUGCGAUUGGUUGUGCACGUCCAAGCAGUUAGGCUGAUAAGUAGGCAAAUCCGCUUAUCGUAAAGGCUGAGCUGUGAUGGGGAAGCUCCUUAUGGAGCGAAGUCUUUGAUUCCCCGCUGCCAAGAAAAGCUUCUAGCGAGAUAAAAGGUGCCUGUACCGCAAACCGACACAGGUAGGCGAGGAGAGAAUCCUAAGGUGUGCGAGAGAACUCUGGUUAAGGAACUCGGCAAAAUGACCCCGUAACUUCGGGAGAAGGGGUGCUUUCUUAACGGAAAGCCGCAGUGAAUAGGCCCAAGCGACUGUUUAGCAAAAACACAGCUCUCUGCGAAGCCGUAAGGCGAAGUAUAGGGGGUGACACCUGCCCGGUGCUGGAAGGUUAAGGAGAGGGGUUAGCGUAAGCGAAGCUCUGAACUGAAGCCCCAGUAAACGGCGGCCGUAACUAUAACGGUCCUAAGGUAGCGAAAUUCCUUGUCGGGUAAGUUCCGACCCGCACGAAAGGUGUAACGAUUUGGGCACUGUCUCAACCAGAGACUCGGUGAAAUUAUAGUACCUGUGAAGAUGCAGGUUACCCGCGACAGGACGGAAAGACCCCGUGGAGCUUUACUGUAGCCUGAUAUUGAAUUUUGGUACAGUUUGUACAGGAUAGGCGGGAGCCUUUGAAACCGGAGCGCUAGCUUCGGUGGAGGCGCUGGUGGGAUACCGCCCUGACUGUAUUGAAAUUCUAACCUACGGGUCUUAUCGACCCGGGAGACAGUGUCAGGUGGGCAGUUUGACUGGGGCGGUCGCCUCCUAAAGUGUAACGGAGGCGCCCAAAGGUUCCCUCAGAAUGGUUGGAAAUCAUUCGUAGAGUGCAAAGGCAUAAGGGAGCUUGACUGCGAGACCUACAAGUCGAGCAGGGACGAAAGUCGGGCUUAGUGAUCCGGUGGUUCCGCAUGGAAGGGCCAUCGCUCAACGGAUAAAAGCUACCCCGGGGAUAACAGGCUUAUCUCCCCCAAGAGUCCACAUCGACGGGGAGGUUUGGCACCUCGAUGUCGGCUCAUCGCAUCCUGGGGCUGUAGUCGGUCCCAAGGGUUGGGCUGUUCGCCCAUUAAAGCGGUACGCGAGCUGGGUUCAGAACGUCGUGAGACAGUUCGGUCCCUAUCCGUCGUGGGCGUAGGAAAUUUGAGAGGAGCUGUCCUUAGUACGAGAGGACCGGGAUGGACGCACCGCUGGUGUACCAGUUGUUCUGCCAAGGGCAUAGCUGGGUAGCUAUGUGCGGAAGGGAUAAGUGCUGAAAGCAUCUAAGCAUGAAGCCCCCCUCAAGAUGAGAUUUCCCAUAGCGUAAGCUAGUAAGAUCCCUGAAAGAUGAUCAGGUUGAUAGGUUCGAGGUGGAAGCAUGGUGACAUGUGGAGCUGACGAAUACUAAUAGAUCGAGGACUUAACCAU